ACGUAGGGUCCAAGCGUUAAUCGGAAUUACUGGGCGUAAAGCGUGCGCAGGCGGUUUUUCCCUCCCGAUGGUAAAUCCCCGGGCUUAACCUGGGAAUUGCGUUGGUGACUGCACGGCUAGAGUGUGGCAGAGGGGGGUAGAAUUCCACGUGUAGCAGUGAAAUGCGUAGAGAUGUGGAGGAAUACCGAUGGCGAAGGCAGCCCCCUGGGAUAGCACUGACGCUCAUGCACGAAAGCGAGGGGAGCAAACAG
rnacentral:rRNA from 1 species